rnacentral:tRNA from 1 species
AAGGGUAUAGCUCAGUGGUAGAGUGCAUGAAGUCCUGGGUUCAAUCCCCAGUACCUCCA